GAGGGGCAGCGGGGUAGUGCUUGCACUACUGCCGGCGACCGGCGCACGGGUGAGUAACACGUAUGGAACCUGCCCGCAGCAGGGGGAUAAGCGGAAGAAAUUCCGUCUAAUACCGCGUAACAACGUUGGGAGGCAUCUCCCGAUGUUUAAAGAUUUAUCGGCUGCGGAUGGCCAUGCGGCGCAUUAGCUAGUCGGCGGGGUAACGGCCCACCGAGGCGACGAUGCGUAGGGGUUCUGAGAGGAAGGUCCCCCACACUGGUACUGAGACACGGACCAGACUCCUACGGGAGGCAGCAGUGAGGAAUAUUGGUCAAUGGCCGAGAGGCUGAACCAGCCAAGUCGCGUGAGGGAAGACGGCCCUACGGGUUGUAAACCUCUUUUGUCGGGGAGCAAAGCGAACCACGUGUGGUUCAUUGAGAGUACCCGAAGAAAAAGCAUCGGCUAACUCCGUGCCAGCAGCCGCGGUAAUACGGAGGAUGCGAGCGUUAUCCGGAUUUAUUGGGUUUAAAGGGUGCGCAGGCGGAGGUGCAAGUCAGCGGUCAAAUUGCGGGGCUCAACCCCGUACUGCCGUUGAAACUGCAUCCCUUGAGUGCGCGAGAAGUAUGCGGAAUGCGUGGUGUAGCGGUGAAAUGCAUAGAUAUCACGCAGAACUCCGAUUGCGAAGGCAGCAUACCGGCGCGCAACUGACGCUCAUGCACGAAAGCGUGGGUAUCGAACAGGAUUAGAUACCCUGGUAGUCCACGCAGUAAACGAUGAACACUAACUGUUCGGCCAGAAUGAUGGCUGAGUGGUACAGCGAAAGCGUUAAGUGUUCCACCUGGGGAGUACGCCGGCAACGGUGAAACUCAAAGGAAUUGACGGGGGCCCGCACAAGCGGAGGAACAUGUGGUUUAAUUCGAUGAUACGCGAGGAACCUUACCCGGGCUCAAACGACACAGGAAUACUUUUGAAAGGAGGUAGCCCUACGGGGUCUGUGUCGAGGUGCUGCAUGGUUGUCGUCAGCUCGUGCCGUGAGGUGUCGGCUUAAGUGCCAUAACGAGCGCAACCCCUAUCGCCAGUUACCAUCAAGUAAAGUUGGGGACUCUGGCGAGACUGCCGGCGCAAGCUGAGAGGAAGGCGGGGAUGACGUCAAAUCAGCACGGCCCUUACGUCCGGGGCGACACACGUGUUACAAUGGCAGGUACAGAGAGAAGCCAGGUGGCGACACCGCGCGGAACUCGAAAGCCUGUCUCAGUUCGGAUCGGAGUCUGCAACCCGACUCCGUGAAGCUGGAUUCGCUAGUAAUCGCG
rnacentral:rRNA from 1 species